GGACAAUGGAAGUUGUGCAGAGCUGUGCACACACUGCCUCAGAACGCGAGGCAACCUUGUCGAGCACAGGAGCUAAUGGGUCCCAAACAAAAUGAAAAGCUUCAGGAACAGCUACUUUCCUACAACCAUCAGGUUCUUGAACCGACCUGCACAACCCUAACCCCACCUCAGCAAUGGAACACUACAGACCACCUCUUGCACUGCCAUGGACUUGUCUCUGGUUGUGUGUUUUUGCCUUAAGGCCUUCUUUUGCACAGUCUUUAUUUUUCACUGUCUAGCGUAAUUUAUGCCUGUGAUGCUCCUGCAAGUGUUUCAUUGUACCUGUACCUCACUGUACUCGUGCACAUGACAAUAAACUCAACUUGACUAAG